rnacentral:rRNA from 1 species
UGGGGAGUACGACCGCAAGGUUGAAACUCAAAGGAAUUGACGGGGGCCCGCACAAGCGGUGGAGCAUGUGGUUUAAUUCGAAGCAACGCGAAGAACCUUACCAGGUCUUGACAUCUUUUGAUCACCUGAGAGAUCAGGUUUCCCCUUCGGGGGCAAAAUGACAGGUGGUGCAUGGUUGUCGUCAGCUCGUGUCGUGAGAUGUUGGGUUAAGUCCCGCAACGAGCGCAACCCUUAUGACUAGUUGCCAGCAUUUAGUUGGGCACUCUAGUAAGACUGCCGGUGACAAACCGGAGGAAGGUGGGUAUGACGUCAAAUCAUCAUGCCCCUUAUGACCUGGGCUACACACGUGCUACAAUGGAUGGUACAACGAGUUGCGAGACCGCGAGGUCAAGCUAAUCUCUUAAAGCCAUUCUCAGUUCGGACUGUAGGCUGCAACUCGCCUACACGAAGUCGGAAUCGCUAGUAAUCGCGGAUCAGCACGCCGCGGUGAAUACGUUCCCGGGCCUUGUACACACCGCCCGUCACACCAUGAGAGUUU